CGUACCCACACACAUUCGACCAAUGAUUCUGCAGCCAGCGAUGGAAGCGUGUACCACUGGAAUGGUCUCUGAGAGCUCGCCUUCAAACACACUGUGAACAUACAGUCAGCCCACAGGUCACUGAAUGACACCCAAGAAGAGAAGCCCUCCACGGCCUGAGACUCAGCAAACAUGCAGCGGAACUCUCGGUCAAAAUCCUCAACAAUUCGGCCUCGAAGCUGCAGCACAAGGCUUGUGUGAACUUGGCUGCAGAGCCAUGUGAAGCUGAAGGAGGCAGAGAGAGCAGGGGUUAGAAAGCCAAAGCCAAAUCUCCUUAAAGAAAGAAUACAGAAGAAAAGAUAAGAUCAUGUUCUUCAGCUGGCACAUCAAGGUGGACUCAGAGAGGAAGGCAUGCUGUCCUUGGUGCACAGUGAGGUCCCUGAGGGAGAUAGGAGCCGAGGAGACAAGAGGCCCAAGAAGGGAAAGAGCGUGUCCUGGAUCUCAGAGAAGGAGGAUGAGGAAGGGAAGGAAAUCAGUUUGCAAAGAUAUCAACUUUUCCCACAAAAGCAACUGAGGUUGAAUAUUCAGGAACCUAUACUGAAAUGAACUGGAAAUAUGAGAAAUCUGAUAUAGAGGAAUUUUAUCUGUGAAUCAUCUGAUGAUUCAACACAAGAAGAGAAUUCUAGGAUGGCAGAACUAAGGAAGGAAUUUCUGAGUUCACCUGGUCCAUCCACCUUCCUAAAGGAGAAUAUCCUCCACAAUGCCCUACAGAAAUAACUUUCAUGAGGUAGCCUCAUUCUGGUGCUGGAUAGCACUGAUACAGCAUUCUUUUCAUCAUCAGAUAAAAAUCUUCCUUCCUAGCUUCCAGCUUUCAUUCUGCCCUCAGAGACCACAGCAGAAGUCUGUUCCCUCACUCUUACAACAGGAAGCAGGCUAUUAUGUCCAAAGGGAUAUAGAACAUAUCAAAUAAACAUUAUAUCAUGAUUCUCUUUCAACCAUCUUUGCCUCUAAAGGAAUUUGAUUCCUGUUGUGAUUUAUAUUGAAUACUAAACCUAUUAACAAUAAAUUAAUUUAUCAAUUAGCCACUGGAUAUUACCCAUUGCUAAAUAUUAACCAAAAAAAGAAUAUUAUUUCUGUAGCAAAGGAAAAUAACAUGCAAGGAAUGAUUGAAAGGAUAUGAGACUCAGAAUUCUACCAGGGCUGUCAGGAUCCCAAACUGUUGAAGAGACAGUUCCCCAGCUGACACACUGGACCUGAAGGUGAAGCCUGGAAGGUGAAGAUUUCAUCUCUCCUGGACUCCCCUGGACAGCUAACAAGCAGCCUCUUUUAAUUCCACCAUACAAGGUUGAGAGGACAUAUCCAUACACUCUGGUGGAUAGAGUGAAACUUGGAGAAACCCUCUUUUCCCUGGGGCAAUUGAGGACUCAGCUGGAUUCCUGUACCUGAACCACCAAGGCUUCUCUGUAUAUGAGAAAUCUGGUUCCCUGUUGUACUGACCUUAGGAAACUUAGGUGUUUAGAUUAGAGUAUUUAGAUAGUGGGUUUAAAAACUGUGUUAAUUGUCAGAUGCUAACCUUUCCCCCUCAUUCCCAAACCUUACCCUUAUCUGUUAAUAAAUUUUAUAUUUAUGUUUAUCCCUCUGUAUUACUUUCCUUCCCCCUAUCCAAAUUAUAUUUCCUUAUAACAGUUUGGCAGAACUAGCUAGGUUUAAGAAAUCUUAGAAAAUUAAGUUUUAUUUAUAGGAAAAACAGUUUCUAUAGGGAAGUCAGUUAGGUAAGAUUGAAAUAUACCAUCCCCACUCUGACAGUGGUACGUUCCAAGGGUGGGGGCCAGUGGAAUUCUAAGACUCCAGUAAGGGGGUAGAUAAUUUAAUAAUUAAAUACCUUUUUGCCACAUGCUUUUGGUGGCCAUAUUGGAAUUUUUUUUCAAGUUUUUCCUUUUUAGAAAUUAUUUGUAAAAUUAUUCACAGUGGAUUAUAAUAACUCUUAUUCACCUGUAUUAUCUUUAAAUGUAAACAUGUCUGGAGAAUGCAUUUUGCACAUCCCAUACAUUGUGUUUGUGUUGUUCCCUAAUGUUUGUUAUGUAGGAUUGGACUAUAAAUGGAUGAAACCUUUUAUGGAUAUCACAAUGCAAA